CGAGCGCGGCUUCCGGCGUCGCUGGUGGAGGUGGGUGAAGAAGGAGCGGGCCCUCGCCGCUCGUUCUCGCUCCCUCUUUCUCUCUCUCUUCUUCUCUCUCUCUUUCCCUCUCGGGCAACAUGGCGGGCGUGGAAGAGGCAUCGUCUUUCGGGGGCCACCUGAAUGGCGACCUGGAUCCAGACGACAGGGAAGAGGGAACCUCCAGCACGGCCGAGGAAGCCGCCAAGAAGAAAAGACGGAAGAAGAAGAAGGGCAAAGGGGCUGUGUCAGGAGAUGGAGAUGGUGAUGGUGAUGGUGCAGCUGGGAAGAAGAAGAAAAAGAAGAAGAAGAAGAGAGGACGACAAGAGUGUGAAUACCCACCCACCCAAGAUGGGCGGACAGCUGCUUGGAGAACCACAAGUGAAGAGAAAAAGGCGCUAGACCAGGCUAGUGAGGAGAUUUGGAACGACUUCCGAGAAGCUGCCGAAGCACACCGGCAAGUUAGGAAAUACGUCAUGAGCUGGAUCAAGCCUGGGAUGACAAUGAUAGAAAUAUGUGAGAAGUUGGAAGACUGUUCCCGAAAGCUCAUAAAGGAGAAUGGGUUAAAUGCAGGCCUGGCCUUUCCCACUGGGUGUUCUCUCAACAACUGUGCUGCACAUUACACUCCCAAUGCUGGUGACACGACAGUCUUACAGUACGACGACAUCUGUAAGAUCGACUUUGGAACGCAUAUAAGUGUGUGCGGGGAUUGACGUCCGUCUCUGUGAUGUCGGCGAGGCCAUUCAAGAAGUUAUGGAGUCCUAUGAAGUGGAAAUAGAUGGGAAGACCUACCAAGUGAAACCCAUACGUAACUUAAAUGGACAUUCAAUUGGGCCAUAUAGAAUUCAUGCUGGAAAAACAGUGCCCAUUGUGAAAGGAGGGGAAGCUACAAGGAUGGAGGAAGGAGAGGUGUAUGCCAUUGAGACCUUUGGUAGCACAGGGAAGGGCGUGGUUCAUGACGAUAUGGAAUGUUCACACUACAUGAAAAAUUUUGAUGUGGGACACGUGCCAAUAAGGCUUCCAAGAACAAAACACUUGUUGAAUGUCAUCAAUGAAAACUUUGGUACCCUUGCCUUCUGCCGAAGGUGGCUGGAUCGCUUGGGAGAAAGUAAAUACUUAAUGGCUCUGAAGAACCUGUGUGACUUGGGCAUUGUAGAUCCAUAUCCACCACUCUGUGACAUUAAAGGAUCAUACACAGCACAGUUUGAACAUACCAUACUGCUGCGCCCAACCUGUAAAGAAGUUGUCAGCAGAGGAGAUGACUAUUAAAACUUAGUCCAAAGCCAACUCAACGUCUUUAUUUUCUAAGCUUUGUUGGAACACAUUAUACCACAAGUAAUUUGCAACAUGUCUGUUUUAACAGUGGACCUGUGUAAUGCCGUUAUCCAUGUUUAAAGGAGUUUGAUCAAAGCCAAACUGUCUACAUGUAAUUAACCAAGGAAAAGGCUUUCAAGACUUUACUGUUAACUGUUUCUCCCGUCUAGGAAAUGCUGUACUGCUCACUAGUUAGGAAUUACUUAAACGUUUUGUUUUGAAGACCUAAGAGAUGCUUUUUGGAUAUUUAUAUUGCCAUAUUCUUACUUGGAUGCUUUGAAUGACUACAUACAUCCAGUUCUGCACCUAUGCCCUCUGGUAUUGCUUUUUAACCUUCCUGGAAUCCAUUUUCUAAAAAAUAAAGACAUUUUCAGAUCUGAGAGCCACAUUUUAAUGUCUACGAUUGUAAUUCUAAACAGAAAGCUGCUUGAGUGUGGAUGGUGUUAUCUGACUGUGCAUACAGCAGAUACCGCAGAUUCUCUUCAGGCAUGGUGGCUACAAGGUCUUCAUGUGUAUGAAGCAGGCAGGAAUGAGUGCAGUUGAGGAAUGUGUUUUGUAGAAGCAUAUUUAAAAUGUCUCCCCCACCUCUCAUAGGAAGAUGUACUGAUUUAAGCAUCGUGGGAGGAAACAUUGUGCCAACUGGAAAACCUUGAUGUAGUAAAUAUCCCUUAACCCAUAUAUGUAUUCCACAUUAGAAAACCAAAUCAACAUUAAAGCCACAAGCAAAA
rnacentral:lncRNA from 1 species